UUCCAUCUCUCUCUGCCUCUCACUCUACUAAUCUCAUUAAGUUAUGACAGCAACCCCAUGAAAUGAGUACCACAGACAAGGAAACAGGCCACCCAGCUGGAAGGGGCCUGGAGAUGCCAGCACCAUUGAGUUCCAGGGCACAGAUAUUCAUUGGAUAAUUACUACAUGACAUCCAUCAUUUGAUUUACUUUCCAUGUGUAACUGGAUGAGGUUUUAGUACACAAAAGUGUUACCCAAAUCUGAGUUCCUGCUUUGAAAUGCAAGAUCUGUGAAACUGAGCCAAGCCAAUGGAAAUGCAAAUGCCUCGAACGUUUUCAUUUACCUGUGACACACGGCUUUCAUCAAGAUGGAUUACCUCACUUGUAAGAACACAUGAACAAUUGGUUUUGUUUGUGGUCAGAUAAACCAGUCAUGAUUAAUGAAUCUGGCCACAGCUCUUCCUGUCUGUGGAUGCCCCAAAUGAGAGCUCUGAUCUUUCCUAAUCGUAAAAGAAAAGGAUCGUAAAAGAAAUCGAGAUGUAUAUGCAUAUUAGAAUAUAUAUUGCCAUUUAUUGGACACCAGGAAAGUGGCUGAGCCUCUGACAGCCUGCCAUCUUUGUUUAUUGCUUUAAUGUCAGUGUAACUCACAGGUCUUUUCAUAUCCACUAAAUAUUUAUAUAAAAAGUCAUUAAAGGCCGGGCGCGGUGGCUCAAGCCUGUAAUCCCAGCACUUUGGGAGGCCGAGGCGGGCGGAUCACGAGGACAGGAGAUCGAGACCAUCCUGGCUAACACGGUGAAACCCCGUCUCUACUAAAAAUACAAAAAAAUUAGCCGGGCGUGUUGGCGGGGCGCCUGUAGUCCCAGCUACUCCGGAGGCUGAGGUAGGAG